AUGACUUGCUGUGUUAUCCUACAUAAUAUGCUUCUUGAAGAUGAGAGAGGAAUGGACUUAGAAUUAUUUUAUGAUAAUGUGGGUAGCCGUGUCAAACCAGCUAGAGACCCAAACCGCAUUAGAGCUUUUCUUCAGACAUAUAAGGAGAUUGAAAAUGCGGACACACACUUUCAACUUCAGGAAGAUCUCAUUGAGCACCAUUGA
rnacentral:rRNA from 1 species